AAUACCACCCUUUAAUGUUUGAUGUUCUAACGUUGACCCGUAAUCCGGGUUGCGGACAGUGUCUGGUGGGUAGUUUGACUGGGGCGGUCUCCUCCUAAAGAGUAACGGAGGAGCACGAAGGUUGGCUAAUCCUGGUCGGACAUCAGGAGGUUAGUGCAAUGGCAUAAGCCAGCUUGACUGCGAGCGUGACGGCGCGAGCAGGUGCGAAAGCAGGUCAUAGUGAUCCGGUGGUUCUGAAUGGAAGGGCCAUCGCUCAACGGAUAAAAGGUACUCCGGGGAUAACAGGCUGAUACCGCCCAAGAGUUCAUAUCGACGGCGGUGUUUGGCACCUCGAUGUCGGCUCAUCACAUCCUGGGGCUGAAGUAGGUCCCAAGGGUAUGGCUGUUCGCCAUUUAAAGUGGUACGCGAGCUGGGUUUAGAACGUCGUGAGACAGUUCGGUCCCUAUCUGCCGUGGGCGCUGGAGAACUGAGGGGGGCUGCUCCUAGUACGAGAGGACCGGAGUGGACGCAUCACUGGUGUUCGGGUUGUCAUGCCAAUGGCACUGCCCGGUAGCUAAAUGCGGAAGAGAUAAGUGCUGAAAGCAUCUAAGCACGAAACUUGCCCCGAGAUGAGUUCUCCCUGACUCCUUGAGAGUCCUGAAGGAACGUUGAAGACGACGACGUUGAUAGGCCGGGUGUGUAAGCGCAGCGAUGCGUUGAGCUAACCGGUACUAAUGAACCGUGAGGCUUAACCUUACAACGCCGAAGCUGUU
rnacentral:rRNA from 1 species